CUGGGAGGAGGUGAAAUAAAAUAAUAUACUAGAGGAACUGUAUCCCUUUGGCGAUACACAGUUCAACAAAGAUGCUAUUAAGGAGGUCAAGGGCAAUAUUGGAGGCUCAAUGCUGUAAUAGUGCUAGGAGAAUAAGUGGAGGUUAGGGGAGUAGUGGGGAAAUGGAGUUGUAGUGGUGGGAUAGGGACAGUUAUGGGGAAUAAGGCAGAAGUGGGUGAUAAGAGGCAG